rnacentral:rRNA from 1 species
AUACGUAGGUGGCAAGCGUUGUCCGGAAUUACUGGGUGUAAAGGGAGCGCAGGCGGGAAUGCAAGUUGGAUGUGAAAUACCGAGGCUUAACCUCGGGGCUGCAUCCAAAACUGUAUUUCUUGAGUGAAGUAGAGGUAGGCGGAAUUCCGAGUGUAGCGGUGGAAUGCGUAGAUAUUCGGAGGAACACCAGUGGCGAAGGCGGCCUACUGGGCUUUAACUGACGCUGAGGCUCGAAAGUGUGGGGAGCAAACAGGAUUAGAUACCCUGGUAGUCCACACUGUAAACGAUGAUUACUAGGUGUGGGGGGUCUGACCCCUUCUGUGCCGUAGUUAACGCAAUAAGUAAUCCACCUGGGGAGUACGAUCGCAAGGUUGAA